UCUUCCGUAGUAUAGUGGUCAGUAUGCAAGCUUGUCACGCUUGAGCCCGGGUUCAAUUCCCGGCGGGAGAG
rnacentral:tRNA from 1 species